CUUCGGGGUUCCUGGGUGUCACGCAGAUCUCGGUGGGACCUCCAAAUGAAAGAACUCAGUGGGGAAAGCCCCACUCAGCUCCCGAUUCGGCGUGCACCCAAGAAUCACGAAUAGAACA
rnacentral:pre_miRNA from 7 species